GCUCGGCGCAAACGCGGAUGCUGAAACUUGGGCUCCUCUUCUCCGUCCUCGGUCUCGUCCAUCUCAACGUUGGUGGCCACACCGGGCUGCUCAGCGGUCGGUGCUCUAGAGGAGCCGGUGUCCAGACAGCUGUGGCCGCUGUUGCUCCUGGUGCAUGUGGACGCGGCUGCAGCCUCAGCAACUCAGCUGCACCCAGGUUAGUUAAUUUCCUGGUGGAGAGGCAGUGGCACGCAAACAGCACAACACAGGAGCAGAACACAACUCUAAUGGCCUUACUCGUGUGAAGCACCAGACACAGCCAACUCUCUUCAUGAGGAAAACAUGAAGAAAUAGCUACCUUUUUAUACGACAAAAAAAAAGAAUGUAUUAUGUGACUAUGUGGAUGUGCAUUUCCUUCUGUGAACCAGUUUACUGCACCAUUCAAUACCCUGGUAAAGGAGAAGAUACAUGUGUGCGUGGUGUCUGAUGACAAAAAAAACAGUAUCUACAACUCACAACCAUGUUCUAAUUUUUUAUAUCUGUUCAUCAGUCUCCUCCAACUUUGAAAUAUUGAACAGGAAUUAUGGUCUGAAUCCACACAGCAAGUGCAGGAAUAAUACUCAUACCACCACCUACUGGCAACAGGAAAUUGUUUCAAAAUUGUUUUUUUUUUGUGACAAGAUUCACUUCAGUGUCCAAAAAAGCCAUAAGCCCUUGUUGAGGAGUUACACCUCUGACACAAGGUGUUUGAGGGGAUGUCUAAGACAUGUUUAGGACAUUUGAUGACUGUAGAACUUUCCAGCAGGCAAAACUAUCACUCUAUUUAUUGUUAUAUGUGACAGAUAUUAUGUUUAAGAUAACCUCCAGUCUGUGUUUGGAGCAUGCGCUGUUCUAAUUAAAGCUUGGUUGGUAUCAAAACA